rnacentral:rRNA from 1 species
GCAGUCGAGCGGUAACAGGGGAGCUUGCUUCUCGCUGACGAGCGGCGGACGGGUGAGUAAUGUAUGGGGAUCUGCCCGAUAGAGGGGGGUAACUACUGGAAACGGUAGCUAAUACCGCAUAAUCCCUCAGGAGCAAAGGAGGGGAACUUCUGUCCUCUGCGCUAUCGGAUGAGCCCGUAUGGGAUUAGCUAGGUGGUGAGGUAAUGGCUCACCAAGGCGACAAUCCCUAUCUGGUGUGAGAGGAUGAUCACCCACACUGGGACUGAGACACGGCCCAAACUCCUACGGGAGGCAGCAUUGUGGAAUAUUGCACAAUGGGCGCAAGCCUGAUGCAGCCAUGCCGCGUGUAUGAAUAAGGCCCUAAGGUUGUAAAGCACUUUCAGGUGAGAGAAAGGCGUUGAUGCUUAUAUCAUCAACGAUUGACGUUACCAACAGAAGAAGCACCGGCUAACUCCGUGCCAGCAGCCGCGGUAAUACAGAGGGUGCGCGCGUUUAUCGGAAUUACUGGGCGUAAAGCGCACGCAGGCGGUUGAUGAAGUUAGAUGUGAAAUCCCCGGGCU